rnacentral:rRNA from 1 species
UACGUAGGGUGCGAGCGUUAAUCGGAAUUACUGGGCGUAAAGCGUGCGCAGGCGGUUUUGUAAGCCAGAUGUGAAAGCCCCGGGCUCAACCUGGGAAUGGCAUUGGGACUGCAAGGCUUGAGUACGGAAGAGGCGAGUGGAAUCCUGGUGUAGCGGUGAAAUGCGCAGAGUAUCAGGAGGAACACCAAUUGCGAAGGCAGCUCGCUGGGACGUUACUGACGCUGAGACGCGAAAGCGUGGGGAGCAAACAGG